UACGGGGGGGGCAAGCGUUGUUCGGAAUUACUGGGCGUAAAGCGUGAGUAGGCGGUUUCGCAAGUCCGAUGUGAAAUCCCCGGGCUUAACCUGGGAACUGCGUUGGAAACUACGAGACUAGAGUGCGGCAGAGGGGGGUGGAAUUCCAGGUGUAGCAGUGAAAUGCGUAGAGAUGCGGAGGAACACCGAUGGCGAAGGCAGCCCCCUGGGCUAGCACUGACGCUCAGGCACGAAAGCGUGGGGAGCAAACAGG
rnacentral:rRNA from 1 species